rnacentral:rRNA from 1 species
AACGAACGCUGGCGGCAUGCCUAACACAUGCAAGUCGAACGAGACCUUCGGGUCUAGUGGCGCACGGGUGCGUAACGCGUGGGAACCUGCCCUUAGGUUCGGAAUAACUCCCCGAAAGGGGUGCUAAUACCGGAUAAUGUCUUCGGACCAAAGAUUUAUCGCCUUUGGAUGGGCCCGCGUUGGAUUAGCUAGUUGGUAGGGUAAAAGCCUACCAAGGCGACGAUCCAUAGCUGGUCUGAGAGGAUGAUCAGCCACACUGGGACUGAGACACGGCCCAGACUCCUACGGGAGGCAGCAGUGGGGAAAAUUGGAGAAUGGGCGAAAGCCUGAGCCAGCAAUGCCGCGUGAGUGAUGAAGGCCUUAGGGUUGUAAAGCUCUUUUACCCGGGAUGAUAAUGACAGUACCGGGAGAAUAAGCGCCGGCUAACUCCGUG